CCUUCUGCAGCAGAUCUUCCCAACCCAGGAAUCGAACCAGGGUCUCCUGCAUUGCAGGCAGAUUCCUUACCAACUGAUCUAUGAGGGAAGCCCUUGAAGAGCUAAGAGGUUAUUUUGGCUAAAGAGCGAAGACAAUGUGUUGGCGGGAGGAAGUGGAGCAGGGGGUGGGGAGACUGGAAAGGACUCCUUGGUCCCCAGCCAUGACCGCCCCCCCCCCCAUCCCAACCCAUUCGAUUAGUUUGCAGGGAGGCAGAGGCCCUCUGGAGGUGAGUGAAGAGUCAAGAUACUGCAAAUACAGGCAGUAGGGGCUACCAGAUGCCCCGUCCAGUUCAGUGCCACCCUCUUGCUGCCCCUCCAGGGUCCGGCCCCUUCACUCCUUUCUCACAGUAGUGGGCAGCAGGCUCUGCCUAACAGGCCAGGGCUGAGUGCCCUGGUGGUGAACCUCAGCAGUGAUGCCCGGCCCGCCACUCCUCCUGGGGUCCUGCUGGAUCCUCCCUGGGCAGGCAGGAACUACACUCCUCCCCACCGAGGCUGCUGUCUUCUCUCUCUGCCUGGGACCUUUGGGACCUUAGACAUCACCGCCCCUGAGCUGCAGGGUCCGUGUGCCCACGCUCUCCGUCACAUCCUUCUUUGGCAACGGCCAACUAUUCCUGAGUGCCUUCCGUGCCGGGCACUGGGGCUAACACACAGGAUGGCUCCAUGUCCCUGCGGAGUGGGUCUGAUGCCCCCCAUUCUGCAGAUGAUGGACUAGACUUCCAGGAGUUCAACCCCACAGCCCCAGAAUGAAAUACCCAGACCCCUGUGUCGUGUGGUGGGUUAACUACACCCUGAAUAGAUUUUUAUCUCAGACUUGAUGCAGGCAGGGCCCAGGAUGAAAGUGACCCUGAGGUCACAGAGGGAAGUGGGUGCAGCUUGUACCUUGCUGGGUCUUGGCCUUCUUCUCAUGCAGCCCCGCCUCACCUCCACUCACCUGCAUCGGGAGUGGCUGCCUCCCCACUUCCAACCAGCGGAUGCUCUGAUGCCCCUUAACUGCGCCAUGGCCUCUGGCCCAAGAAGUGCUAGAGUCAAGCUGAGGUCAGCAGGAUGCUGUUAACAGCCUUGCACCCCAAGACCAGACCCUGGGCCUCUCCUUCACCUGGCCCCUACCUUGGGGCCCACCCAGGUGCCAAGCCCUCACCAUUCCAGCUCACCUUCGCUCUGAAACUGGCUCCGCCCAAGAGGAGACUGGGCCUCAGAAGAGAAUCUUGCCUGAGGCCACAGAAUCAGUGAUGCCAAGACUAGUCCCAUAGCCGGAUUCCGAGUUGGGGGUCCUCUCACAGCCCUGACACAUCUGACCUGAAGCCACCCCACCUGCCCUGGUGCUUCCUCUGAGCAGGCUGCCUGGAUGGCUCCCACUCACAGCAACUGCCACCCCUCACCUGUAUGUCACCCAGCCUAGGAGACCCAGUCCCACGCCUGUCGGCAGAGGGCGGCGAGUCCCCAAGGCCCACGGGGAGACGAUAGCAUGGACCAGGACCCGGGAGCGCUUGGCGCGGACCACAGGAAGAGCACUCACCUGGAC